UAUACACGUUUUUCUUUUUUCUUUUUUUUUUUUUUUUUUUUUUUUUUGCUGAGGUUAAGUUGCAGAGAUCAUAACCCUUUAUCCCUAGAUACUUCAGCAUAAAAAAACAAUGACAGGCAUCCGGUGGCAGGGUCUGGGGAAGGGGUGGCAGGUGCCAUGUCGGGCUGCGAAGGUGGCAAGAAGCCCCUGAAGCAGCCCAAGAAGCAAGCCAAGGAGAUGGACGAGGAAGAUAAGGCAUUCAAGCAGAAACAGAAGGAGGAGCAAAAGAAAUUUGAGGAGCUAAAAGCGAAGGCCUCGGGGAAGGGCCCCCUGGCCACAGGUGGAAUUAAGAAAUCUGGCAAAAAGUUCCUUGUGCCUGAGGCAAUGAUGAUCCUUAGUUCCAUUCCUGUUUAAACAUCUGGAUUCCCUGCCAUAACAUCUGUUGCCACCUAUAGCUAGAAUGAAGUGUUGUCUUGGAACCUAUUGUACAUUUAAGAAUAAACUUUUGUAAAAAAAAAAAA